ncrna:unclassified sequences dfrA-dnaX RNA
AUGUCUAAUGAUAAAGCUAUUAAUAUUUCAUCAUAGUUACAGCUAUUUAGUUAUCAAAACGGAACUAUGGUAUAAU